CUCUAAGAUCCCCGUUGGAUUUUAUGACACAGCAUGAGCAAAAUGAGAGUUGAGUUCAUAACACUGAUUUGUUUUGUUUGGGACUGUUAGGGCUACACAGCGCUUCACCUGGCCUCUAUACACGGACACCAGCACGUCAUCCAGCUCCUGAUCAACAUCUACAAUGCCAGAACUAACAUCAGGGACUACCAUGGCAAGCUUGCAGCCCAUUACUGGAGUGGCAAUGCUGAUGUGUUCAACAAACCAGGCUCGCAGUCAUGUGGGAAAUGGUCAUCAAAAGGAGGAAGAAAGGCCCAGCGCUACACCAACCUACCCUCUCUGCUCCUCUCUCGCUCGCGGAGCCAGGGGAACCUCAACAACCUGGAGUUUGGGACUGCGCCUCAGACCCCACGGCCCCCCCGCUCCCCAUCUAGUAUAGACUUCCACAGCUUCCAAUCCCCACAGCUCUAUGGAGAUCAUUUCUGAUUAAAGAUAGAUAAUAAUUGUUUUAUUUUGCAUCCCAAAUGGCACCCUAUUCCCUAUAUAGUGCAUAUAUAUAUAUAUACACACACACACACACACACACACACAAAAGUAGUGAACCAUGUAGGGAAUAGGGUGCCAUUUGGGACGUAAUCUUAUUUUUCUAUUACGAUCAUGGCUAUAUCAUGGCUAUAAAGUAUGAUUGGUCACUUCAGAGAAGCACAAAAGGAUUUGAUUGAUUGAAAGUUAAAGAAAGUUGUUCAACUGUCUGGUACAGGUCUCUCUCCUUACUAUGGAAUUUAGCAUGUACACUGAACAUACAUUUGAACGCAACAUGUAAAGUGUUGGUCCCAUUUUUUUAAUGAGCUGAAAUGAAAGAUCCCAGAAGUAUUCCAUACGCACAAAAAUAAUAUUUCUCUCAAAUUGUGUGCACAAAUGUGUUGACAUCCCUGUUAGUGAGCAUUUCUCCUUUGCCAAGAUAAUUCACAAUUGGCCCAGCGUUGUCCAGGUUUGGUCGGGGUAGGCUGUCAUUGUAAAUAAGAAUUUGUUCUUAACUGACUUGCCUAGUUAAAUAAUAGUUAACAUUAUAAUAAAUUACACAGGUACGCCUUGUGCUGGAGACAAUAAAAGGCCACUCUAAAAUGCAGAUUUUUAUCACACAACACAAUGCCACAGGUGUCUCAAGUUUUGAGGGAGCGUGCAAUUGGCGUGCUGACUGCAGGAAUGUGCACCAGAACUGUUGCCAGAGAAUAUAAUGUUCAGUUCUCUACCAUAAUGAUGUUUUAGAGAAUUUAACAGUACAUCCAACCGGCCUCACAACCGGAGUCCACGUGAAUGGCGUCGUGUGGGUGAGCGGUUUGUGCCCUAUGGUGGCGGUCGUUGCCCUAUGGUGGCGGUCGUUGCCCUAUGGUGGCGGUCGUUGCCCUAUGGUGGCGGUCGUUGCCCUAUGGUGGCGGUCGUGUUAUGGUACGUACGGGCAGGCAUAAGCUACAGAGAACGAACACAAUUGCAUUUUAUUUACGUCAACUUGAAUGCACAAAAAUACCGUGACGAGAUCCUGAUGCCCAUUGGAGGCCUGUAUCUGUGACCAACAGAUGCAUAUCUGAAUUCCCAGUCAUGUGAAAUCUAUAGAUUAGGGCCCAAUGAAUUUAUUUCAAUUGACUGAUUUCCUCAUAUGAAUUGUAACUCAGUAAUAUCAAUGAAAUUGUUGCAUGUUGCAUGUUCAGUAUAGCUAGCUACUCCCGCUUUUACCUUUGUUGAUAUAUAUUUUCAGAAGUGUAUUACAUUUAUGAACGCUCUCCUUGCAUUCAUGAUUGGAUUCCACUGGGCACCAACUCGUUGAAUCAACAUUGUUUCAAUGCAACGUUGGAUUUGAAAAAGUAAUCAGCUGCGGUUUUGAGAAUGA